rnacentral:lncRNA from 1 species
AACAUUUCUACCCACCAAUUUCUUUAACCAUUGACAACCUCCAAUUCUAGAACAAUUACACUUAUGCACUAAAAAAAAUUACAAAACUCAUUAAUCCAUUAAAAUACAAAACCCAGAACAUUAACUUCACAAACACAUUAGAACACCCAUCAAUCCAUUAAAAAAUCAAGAAAAUUAACAUCACAAACAAAACCCAUUUAAAAAUUAACAUAACAAACAAAAAU